AAGACCCAACUAUCACUCUGCUUAAGAAGACCCAACUAUCACUCUGCUUAAGAAGACCCAGCUAUCACUCUGCUUAAGAAGACCCAGCUAUCACUCUGCUUAAGAAGACCCAGCUAUCACUAUGCUUAAGAAACAGCUAGCUUGUUAUUGUUGCUGCUGUUAAACCAUUAUUUAUCCAGGCUAGUUUCAUUGAGAUAAAAUGCAUUUUAAAGUGAGUCCUAAUCCAAGACAACAACCGGGCAUGCAGUAAUUGCAAUACUGUAUCACAAUACUUACUGAAAUAUGUCCUCGUAAUUAAGUAAGUUUUAUCUGAACCUUCCCUCAGUGGUGGGAUUUUCAAUGAUUUGUUUGUUCUUUCCCCAGGUCCCCACAGUAGUGAAGGCUCUCCACAAGCAGCUGAAAGAGAAGAGCAUGAAGUCUAGACAGGGCUGUUUGUCUGCUGACAGAGCUGGCCAACGUACUGCCAGGAGCCCUGGGGGAACACAUACCAGCUCUCACAUCAGGUUGACAGCGGUGAAGAACAUGACUCUCAUCUCCGCAUUGCCCCUUAGGAUUGACCUCUGACCUUUACUCACAGAGGGCAUCCCCAUCCUGGGCUCCUUCCCCGGGAAGAACCAGCGCGCCCUCAAGCUGAGCAUGCCGACCGGUCUCAACAUGAUCGUGGCGAACAACAGCUACAGCCUGAAGCCACCCAUGAUCGAUGCCGUGCUCAAAAAGCUACCUGCUUUGAUUGAGAGCAAUAUGCACAUAUCCCAGGUGGCAGUUAAACUCCUCACCUGUAUGGCUAAGGUGUGCCCCUCCUCCCUGUCCAAGAUCGGGAACACUGUCCUACCUGGGGUGUUGCAUCUGUUUCAUUCCCCAGUCGCUCCAAUGAGGGUCUCUCUCCGCCAUUCUAGAGUUCUUCCAAGUGCUGGUGGUCACCAAGGCUGUGAACAACGGCCUGAAAGCUCUCACAGGCCCCUUUCACAGAUUGGGGAAUGCGACAGACCCUACAGACCCAUGGACUUUUCCUGGUUAAAUAAAAAGACAGUCCUACUACUCUGUGACCAGGUAGUUGUAGUUUUGGAUAGAUGCCUUUACAUGGCUGUCAUAGGCCACACUCACUCCCUCAGAAAUUAUUCCUAUUCUGCCUUGAAAGUUGAUAGUUGGAAACAUGUGAUAUUAAAAGGACUUUGAAAAAUAUAUUUAGUGCCACUAGUUACCUUGAAAUCAUCGUCGAGUUGAAAACGUGCCUUCUUGACAUACUUGUUAAAAAUGACUUUUCAAAGCCGGUGAUAUUCAGCGCCAUUUUGUAGAGCUGUGAUGUUGAUACAGUAUUCCCAACGAAUACAUUGCAAAUAAACAAAUGUUUAGUUAAAUUUG